rnacentral:rRNA from 1 species
GGGGAAUAUUGGACAAUGGGCGCAAGCCUGAUCCAGCCAUGCCGCGUGAGUGAUGAAGGCCCUAGGGUUGUAAAGCUCUUUCACCGGUGAAGAUAAUGACGGUAACCGGAGAAGAAGCCCCGGCUAACUUCGUGCCAGCAGCCGCGGUAAUACGAAGGGGGCUAGCGUUGUUCGGAAUUACUGGGCGUUAUGCGCACGUAGGCGGAUUGUUAAGUGAGGGGUGAAAUCCCAGGGCUCAACCCUGGAACUGCCUUUCAUACUGGCAAUCUAGAGUCCAGAAGAGGUGAGUGGAAUUCCGAGUGUAGAGGUGAAAUUCGUAGAUAUUCGGAGGAACACCAGUGGCGAAGGCGGCUCACUGGUCUGGAACUGACACUGAGGUGCGAAAGCGUGGGGAGCAAACAUGAUUAGAUACCCUGGUAGUCCACGCCGUAAACGAUGAAUGUUAGCCGUCGGGCAGUUUACUGUUCGGUGGCGCAGCUAACGCAUUAAACAUUCCGCCUGGGGAGUACGGUCGCAAGAUUAAAACUCAAAGGAAUUGACGGG